rnacentral:lncRNA from 1 species
CUUAACCCUAAAAUACACAGGUGUAACACCACCGUUCCUCCACUGUCUACCUCCGGUCGGAAAUCGCCGCCGCUGCUGGCCAAUCUCCAAUCGACUCCAAAUUAACACCAGUUGCUCCCCUUGACCUCCUCUUUCCAUUUUUGUAACCCAUAUCCCUCAAAAACUGGCCAAAGUCUUUAAAUAAUCAUUUGAAGGAGCGGAUGUUCCGCCGUCCACGACAGCUGUUCCACCGUCCACGGCGGCGCCGGCUCCAAUAGCCACCAAAAUUACACCACAGCACCUCCUCAUCUCCUUCUCCAUAAAUCCAUAACCUAUAACCCUCAAAUGUUACUGGAUCUUAUCGAAUAUCAAGUCAAAGACUCCGGUCAAAAACCAAAUCCCUCCAAAUCCAACCAAACUCACACCCUGUUCUGUUCUCAC